rnacentral:rRNA from 1 species
UACGAGGUGGCAAGCGUUGUCCGGAAUUAUUGGGCGUAAAGCGCGCGCAGGCGGUCCUUUUAAGUCUGAUGUGAAAGCCCACGGCUCAACCGUGGAGGGUCAUUGGAAACUGGGGGGACUUGAGUGCAGGAGAGAAGAGUGGAAUUCCACGUGUAGCGGUGAAAAUGCGUAGAGAUGUGGAGGAACACCAGUGGCGAAGGCGACUCUUUUGGCCUGUAACUACGUUGAGGCGCGAAAAGCGUGGGGGAGCAAAACG